GACGAACGCUGGCGGCAUGCCUAAUACAUGCAAGUCGAGCGGACUUGAUGGAGAAGCUUGCUUCUUCUGAAGGUUAGCGGCGGACGGGUGAGUAACACGUAGGCAACCUGCCUUUCAGUUUGGGAUAACUUCCGGAAACGGAUGCUAAUACCGAAUACAUCAUCUUCUGGCAUCAGAGGAUGAGGAAAGACGGCGCAAGCUGUCACUGAGAGAUGGGCCUGCGGCGCAUUAGCUAGUUGGUGGGGUAAUGGCUCACCAAGGCGACGAUGCGUAGCCGACCUGAGAGGGUGAACGGCCACACUGGGACUGAGACACGGCCCAGACUCCUACGGGAGGCAGCAGUAGGGAAUCUUCCACAAUGGGCGAAAGCCUGAUGGAGCAAUGCCGCGUGAGUGAUGAAGGUUUUCGGAUCGUAAAGCUCUGUUGCCAGGGAAGAACGUCCAGGUGAGUAACUGCACCUGGAGUGACGGUACCUGAGAAGAAAGCCCCGGCUAACUACGUGCCAGAAGCCGCGGUAACAC
rnacentral:rRNA from 1 species